rnacentral:rRNA from 1 species
CUCUUUUUGAAUAUAAUUUAAAGUUGGGCCUGCCCACUGAGAUUUUAAAGGGCCGCAGUAUUUUGACUGUGCAAAGGUAGCAUAAUCAUUAGUUUUUUAAUUGAAAGCUUGUAUGAAUGGUUUGAUGAGAAAAUAGCUGUCUCAAUUUUAUUGGUUAAAAUUUUAUUUUUAAGUUAAAAAGCUUAAAUUUAGUUUAAAGACGAGAAGACCCUAUAGAGUUUAACUUUUGAAUAGUUAUAAAAAUUUAGUAUUUAAUAUUUUCUGACUUUAAAAAGUUUUGUUGGGGUGACAGAAAAAUUAAUUAAACUUUUUUUUUAUUAUUACAAUAAUUAUUGAAUAAUUGAUCCGUAAAAACGAUUAUAAGAUUAAAUUACCUUAGGGAUAACAGCGUAAUUUUUUUUGAGAGUUCAUAUUUAAAGAAAAGAUUGCGACCUCGAUGUUGGAUUAAAAUUAAUUUUUGGUGUAGAAGCUAAAAUAUUAGGUCUGUUCGACCUUUGAAAUUUUACAUGAUCUGAGUUU